CAGUCGCCGCGGUAAUACGAACCGUGCGAACGUUAUUCGGAAUCAUUGGGCUUAAAGCGCGUGUAGGCGGAUGGGAACGUCGGUCGCUGAAAUACCCCGGCUCAACCGGGGAACUGGCAUCGAAACGACCCGUCUCGAGGGGCAUAGGGGGAGCUGGAACUCCCGGUGGAGCGGUGAAAUGCGUUGAGAUCGGAAGGAACGCCCGUGGCGAAAGCGAGCUCCUGGAUGUCUUCUGACGCUGAGACGCGAAAGCUAGGGUAGCGAACGGGAUUAGAUACCCCAGUAGUCCCUGUCUCUUAUA
rnacentral:rRNA from 1 species